rnacentral:rRNA from 1 species
UGGGGAAUUUUGGACAAUGGGGGAAACCCUGAUCCAGCCAUCCCGCGUGUGCGAUGAAGGCCUUCGGGUUGUAAAGCACUUUUGGCAGGAAAGAAACGUCAUGGGUUAAUACCCCGUGAAACUGACGGUACCUGCAGAAUAAGCACCGGCUAACUACGUGCCAGCAGCCGCGGUAAUACGUAGGGUGCAAGCGUUAAUCGGAAUUACUGGGCGUAAAGCGUGCGCAGGCGGUUCGGAAAGAAAGAUGUGAAAUCCCAGAGCUCAACUUUGGAACUGCAUUUUUAACUUCCGGGCUAGGGUGUGUCAGAGGGAGGUGGAAUUCCGCGUGUAGCAGUGAAAUGCGUAGAUAUGCGGAGGAACACCGAUGGCGAAGGCAGCCUCCUGGGAUAACACUGACGCUCAUGCACGAAAGCGUGGGGAGCAAACAGG